rfam:Eutrema salsugineum unplaced genomic scaffold scaffold_3, whole genome shotgun sequence.
AUACAUUUCUCGGUCUUUUGGCUAAAUCAAGUGUAGUAUCUGUUCUUAUCAGCUUAAUAUCUGAUAUGUGGUGACAUUGUUGCCACAUGAUAUUAACUUUAUUUCUGGAGAGACCAUUAUGGCAGUUCACUGUCUGGGCUCUCUAGUGUCGCCUAUGCGUUGCACUCUUGGAAAGGCUUUUGGCGCACCCCAC